AUAACGGUCCUAAGGUAGCGAAAUUCCUUGUCGGGUAAGUUCCGACCCGCACGAAAGGCGUAAUGAUUUGGGCACUGUCUCAACAAUGCACCCGGUGAAAUUGAAAUACCAGUGAAGAUGCUGGUUACCUGCGCCAGGACGGAAAGACCCCAUGGAGCUUUACUCCAGCUUGAUACUGGGAUUCGAUAUUGCAUGUACAGGAUAGGUGGGAGACUAGGAAGUGGUGACGCCAGUUGCCAUGGAGUCAAUGUUGGGAUACCACCCUUGCAGUAUUGGGUUUCUAACCAGCAGCCGUGAUCCGGCUGGGGGACAAUGUCAGGUGGGGAGUUUGACUGGGGCGGUCGCCUCCGAAAGGGUAUCGGAGGCGCUCAAAGGUUCCCUCAGAAUGGUUGGAAACCAUUCGAAGAGUGCAAAGGCAGAAGGGAGCUUGACUGCGACACCGACGGGUGGAGCAGGUACGAAAGUAGGACUUAGUGAUCCGGUGGUAUAAAGUGGGAUUGCCAUCGCUCAACGGAUAAAAGCUACCCUGGGGAUAACAGGCUUAUCACUCCCAAGAGUUCACAUCGACGGAGUGGUUUGGCACCUCGAUGUCGGCUCAUCGCAUCCUGGGGCUGUAGUAGGUCCCAAGGGUUGGGCUGUUCGCCCAUUAAAGCGGUACGCGAGCUGGGUUCAGAACGUCGUGAGACAGUUCGGUCCCUAUCCGGCGUGGGCGUAGGAUAUUUGAGAGGAGCUGCCCUUAGUACGAGAGGACCGGGAUGGACUGGCCGCUGGUGUAUCUGUUGUAUUACCAAGUGCAUAGCAGAGUAGCCAAGCCGGGAAGGGAUAAACGCUGAAGGCAUCUAAGCGUGAAGCCCCCCUCAAGAUGAGAUAUCCCAUAACGUCAAGUUAGUAAGACCCCUUGAAGACGACGAGGUAGAUAGGGCAGAGGUGGAAGUGUGGUAACACAUGGAGCUGACUGUUACUAAUAGGUCGAGGGCAUAACCAA
rnacentral:rRNA from 1 species